GUGACAUUGCUAUAAAUUGGGCUGGUGGUUUACACCAUGCCAAGAAGUGUGAGGCAUCUGGAUUUUGUUACAUCAACGACUUAGUUUUGGGAAUUUUGGAGCUUCUGAAAUAUCAUGCACGUGUUUUAUACAUUGAUAUAGACGUACAUCAUGGUGAUGGUGUUGAAGAGGCCUUUUAUUUCACUGACAGGGUGAUGACUGUGAGUUUUCACAAGUACGGGG
rnacentral:misc_RNA from 1 species